rnacentral:tRNA from 1 species
CAUUAGAUGACUGAAAGUAAGUAAAGAUCUCUUAAAUCUAAUUAUAGUAAAUAACGUAUACUUCUAAUGA